CAAGGAAUUGUCGGCGAAUGGGGCGCAAGCCUGACCGAGCAACGCCGCGUGCGGGAUGACGGCCUUCGGGUUGUAGACCGCUUUUCGGGGGGGACGAUGACGACGGUACCCCCGGAAGAAGCCCCGGCUAACUCUGUGCCAGCAGCCGCGGUAAGACAGAGGGGGCGAGCGUUGUCCGGAGUUACUGGGCGUAAAGCGCGCGCAGGCGGCGGCCUAAGUGUCGUGUGAAAGCCCCCGGCUCAACCGGGGGAGGCCAUGGCAGACUGGGUCGCUGGAGCCGCAGAGAGGCCCCUCGAAUUGCCGGUGUAGCGGUGAAAUGCGUAGAGAUCGGCAGGAAGACCAAGGGGGAAGCCAGGGGGCUGGCUGCGGGCUGACGCUGAGGCGCGACAGCGUGGGGAGCAAACCGGAUUAGAUACCCGGCUAGUCCACGCCGUAAACGAUGACCACUCGGCGUGUGGCGACUAUUGACGUCGCGGCGCGCCCAAGCUCACGCGAUAAGUGGUCCGCCUGGGAACUACGAGCGCAAGCUUA
rnacentral:rRNA from 1 species